CCCAGUGUUUCACUCUUACACUCGGUGUUUCUCUCAAAUCUGCACUUUCUCACUCUCACAGUUGCACAUUCUCUCUUCUUCCUCUGCACACUUGCUUCUUGCACUCUCAGCACUUUCUCUCUACUGCACUCUCUCCCGUCUCUCUCUUUAUAGGUGAAUGGAGAAGCAUUGACAGCAACCCAUGUGCAGAACCAACUACUACAAUGACAAAAGUCAUGGUGGUUGGAGAAAGGUUGACAAAAAUGUUGACAAUUGCUACA
rnacentral:lncRNA from 1 species